CCUACGGGUGGCAGCAGUGGGGAAUAUUGGACAAUGGGCGAAAGCCUGAUCCAGCCAUGCCGCGUGUGUGAAGAAGGCCUUCGGGUUGUAAAGCACUUUCAGUGGGGAAGAAAGCCUUGGGGCUAAUACCCUCGAGGAAGGACAUCACCCACAGAAGAAGCACCGGCUAACUCCGUGCCAGCAGCCGCGGUAAUACGGAGGGUGCGAGCGUUAAUCGGAAUUACUGGGCGUAAAGCGCGCGUAGGCGGUCUGAUAAGCCGGUUGUGAAAGCCCCGGGCUCAACCUGGGAACGGCAUCCGGAACUGUCAGGCUAGAGUGCAGGUGAGGAAGGUAGAAUUCCCGGUGUAGCGGUGAAAUGCGUAGAGAUCGGGAGGAAUACCAGUGGCGAAGGCGGCCUUCUGGACUGACACUGACGCUGAGGUGCGAAAGCGUGGGUAGCAAACAGGAUUAGAUACCCCAGUAGUC
rnacentral:rRNA from 1 species